UACGGGGGGGGCAAGCGUUGUUCGGAAUUACUGGGCGUAAAGGGCCAGUAGGCGGCCAACUAAGUCGGAUGUGAAAUCCCCAGGCUCAACUUGGGAACUGCAUCCGAUACUGGAUGGCUUGAAUUCGGGAGAGGGAUGCAGAAUUCCAGGUGUAGCGGUGAAAUGCGUAGAUAUCGGAAGGAACGCCCGUGGCGAAAGCGAGGUCCUGGACGCCUACUGACGCUGAGACGCGAAAGCCAGGGGAGCGAACGGG
rnacentral:rRNA from 1 species